rnacentral:rRNA from 1 species
GACGAACGCUGGCGGCGUGCCUAACACAUGCAAGUCGAGCGAGUUGAUUCUCUUCGGAGAUGAAGCUAGCGGCGGACGGGUGAGUAACACGUGGGCAACCUGCCUCAUAGAGGGGAAUAGCCUCCCGAAAGGGAGAUUAAUACCGCAUAGGAUUGUAGCUUCGCAUGAAGUAGCAAUUAAAGGAGUAAUCCGCUAUGAGAUGGGCCCGCGGCGCAUUAGCUAGUUGGUGAGGUAACGGCUCACCAAGGCGACGAUGCGUAGCCGACCGGAGAGGGUGAUCGGCCACAUUGGGACUGAGACACGGCCCAGACUCCUACGGGAGGCAGCAGUGGGGAAUAUUGCACAAUGGGGGAAACCCUGAUGCAGCAACGCCGCGUGAGUGAUGACGGCCUUCGGGUUGUAAAGCUCUGUCUUCAGGGACGAUAAUGACGGUACCUGAGGAGGAAGCCACGGCUAACUACGUGCCAGCCGCCGCCGUAA